rnacentral:rRNA from 1 species
GGAGAAGUUACUAAGGGCGUAUGGCGGAUGCCUAGGCUCUCAGAGGCGAAGAAAGACGUGAUAAGCUGCGAUAAGCUUCGGGUAGGUGCACAUGACCGUUAAUCCGAAGAUUUCUGAAUGGGACAACCCACUAUAUUGAAGAUAUAGUAUCCGCAAGGAGGCCAACCCGGGGAACUGAAACAUCUAAGUACCUGGAGGAAAAAGAAAAUAAUAUAUGAUUCCGCAAGUAGUGGCGAGCGAACGCGGACUAGCCCAAACCUAAAUUGUUACGGCAAUUUAGGGGUUGUAGGACUACGAUAUGGACUUAUAAAUUGAACGAGAACUAGCUGGAAAGUUAGACCACAGA